UACGUAGGGGGCAAGCGUUGUCCGGAUUUAUUGGGCGUAAAGAGCGUGUAGGCGGUCAGGUAGGUCCGUUGUGAAAACUCGAGGCUCAACCUCGAGACGCCGAUGGAAACCAUCUGACUAGAGUCCGGAAGAGGAAGAGUGGAAUUCCUGGUGUAGCGGUGAAAUGCGCAGAUAUCAGGAAGAACACCCGUGGCUAAGGCGGCUCUCUAGUACGGUACUGACGCUGAGACGCGAAAGCGUGGGGAGCGAACAGG
rnacentral:rRNA from 1 species